rnacentral:rRNA from 1 species
AAUCAACGCUGGCGGCGUGCCUCAGACAUGCAAGUCGAACGAUUAAAGCUCUCUUCGGAGAGUGUAUAGAGUGGCGCACGGGUGAGUAACACGUAAGUAAUCUACCUUCGAGUGGGGAAUAACGUCCGGAACGGACGCUAAUACCGCAUAAUGCAGCGGCAUCGCAAGAUGACAGUUGUUAAAGAUUUAUCGCUUGAAGAGGAGCUUGCGGCAGAUUAGCUAGUUGGUAAGGUAACGGCUUACCAAGGCUACGAUCUGUAUCCGGUCUAAGAGGACGGUCGGACACACUGACACUGAAUAACGGGUCAGACUCCUACGGGAGGCAGCAGUCGGGAAUUUUGGGCAAUGGGCGAAAGCCUGACCCAGCAACGCCGCGUGAAGGAUGAAGUAUUUCGGGUANGUAAACUUCGAAAGAAUAGGAAGAAUUAAUGACGGUACUAUUU